rnacentral:rRNA from 1 species
UACGAAGGGUGCAAGCGUUAAUCGGAAUUACUGGGCGUAAAGCGUGCGUAGGCGGCUUUUUAAGUCGGAUGUGAAAUCCCCGGGCUUAACCUGGGAAUGGCAUCCGAUACUGGGGAGCUGGAGUUUGGGAGAGGGUGGUGGAAUUCCCGGUGUAGCGGUGAAAUGCGUAGAGAUCGGGAGGAACAUCAGUGGCGAAGGCGGCCACCUGGCCUAAAACUGACGAUGAGGCACGAAAGAGUGGGGAGCAAACAGG